CUCUCGUGGUUAUGAAGAGAAUAUCUACUGAGAUGGAAAAUAGGAGUGAGACACAGAGCCCUUCUUUCUAUCCAUGUCCCAACAGUGCAGCAGAUCAAAACAUAUAGUGCUGAAGAAGCAUCCAGACACGAUAAGAAAGAAAUCCCUGUCUAUGAGACUAAAUUGUGGCGCUAGAAGAGAAAGUACUCAUUUGAAUGACAGCAGCUCAAACAUAUAACUCUGGGAUGCUGCAAGAUGGGGAGGAGGGAGCCCCCAUGAAGAUGAACCAGAUAUGCAGGACUCCCCUGAACAAGGAGACUCACUGGAUGACACCAACAGUAUUGAGGAUGAGAAGUGGAUCCCUUCUUCCCUUCCAGACAGGUACCCCCUUCUGGUUUGGGUCUUUUGAGGUUCAGGCAAAUUGAAAGGCAGGAACAGCCAAGAAUCCUGACUUGUUGUCUAUGGGCAGCAUGCUCAAUUGCUCCUGCUUAGAGUUUUGUUCUCCAGCUAGGGUAUCCCAGUGUAAACAGAGGUCACUAUGCAGCCGCUCAAAAAAGGGAGCCAAGAGAGUUGUGGCUGCUGUCUUCAGAGUGCUUCAUGAGCAGGAGAUCUGCGUCCCAUUUCUUGCAGUGUUGACCUAGAUCAGGGGUCUAGUUUGUGGCCCCCGUCUUGCCUGC